rnacentral:rRNA from 1 species
AGCGAACGCUGGCGGCAGGCCUAACACAUGCAAGUCGAACGAAGUCUUCGGACUUAGUGGCGGACGGGUGAGUAACACGUGGGAACGUGCCCUUUGGUACGGAAUAACUCAGGGAAACUUGAGCUAAUACCGUAUGUGCCCUUCGGGGGAAAGAUUUAUCGCCAUUGGAGCGGCCCGCGUCUGAUUAGCUAGUUGGUGAGGUAAAGGCUCACCAAGGCGACGAUCAGUAGCUGGUCUGAGAGGAUGAUCAGCCACAUUGGGACUGAGACACGGCCCAAACUCCUACGGGAGGCAGCAGUGGGGAAUCUUGCGCAAUGGGCGAAAGCCUGACGCAGCCAUGCCGCGUGGAUGAUGAAGGUCUUAGGAUUGUAAAAUCCUUUCACCGGUGAAGAUAAUGACUGUAGCCGGAGAAGAAGCCCCGGCUAACUUCGUGCCAGCAGCCGCGGUAAAAC